AUUGUUUUAUACAACAAAGACAUUAUCAAAGAAAAACUGUUAAAAUUUAACAUGAUUUUGUAAACCAUUUAAUUGAGUUUACUUUACAAGAUUCUGAACGAAAGUCCAUGGAAAAGUUGUUACUCUCACUGAAGUCACCAACCGAGUAAUGGAAUAAAAACGUUUCAAGUUUAAUAGGACUGGCAUAAAUAAUGAACCGCUUACCUCGUGGUGUGAAACGAAGAAAAGUUAUUACUGCAAUUCCUUGUGUUUUCCACCGAUCAGUUGGUUUUUUCACUUCGGAUCACACGUAUUCUAAAAUCAGAAAACAUAUUCGAAAACAUGUUAGUAUACACUAAAAUUUUAUAGUAAAAAAAAUAGUAAAGAACAUGAUUUGGGUUAAUUCAGCGGAAAUGUUUUUUUUUUGGCAAAAAAGGAUUUAAACACUUCUUAGUUGAUAGCAUUUAUUCUUAUGGUUCAGUGAAUUUUUGCGAAUAAAUUCAUAUGGAAAAAUGACGAGUUUUUCAAAACAUUUAGCCGCAAUACGAUAAACAUUUAUUCAAAGAAAUACAAAAUGAAAAUGAAAUAAUGUUAAUACAAAAAAGAGAUGACGUUUGCACUAUGACUACUGUACAACAACUGAUGGACAUUAUGAUUGUAAUGCAUAUGCAACAACGCUUAUCACUAAACACCGUGGGUAGUAGGUUGAUCAAACAUCACAAUAGUAUAACUUCUAACAUGAACUUCAUAAAAAAAUGGUAAGUAUUUUACUUUUAAAAUGUAAAAAUAGUUUUAUUUUAUUAUGAAAUUAAUAUGCCAGGUAAUUACCUAUUUCAGCACUAGUAAUUUGUAUUAAGUGAUUCAGAAUGAAAUCUUAUGUUGUACAUAGGAUUAUAAUCUCAUUACUAUGUAACAAUAUUUUAAUAUUAAUUUUUAUAAUAAAAAGAUGAAAACACGAUGUUUAAUUAUUUUUAUGAAUUUAAAGUAGACAUUUUGUUUAUUUAAGUGAGUAGAAAAAGCUAAAAUAUUUAAUUUCAUUUAGUAAAAUAUGUCUAGACGUAUAUUUUUUAAAGUGCGACUUAAAUUUUUAUUUCUACAUUAUUAAUUUAGAUUAAUGCAAAAGAUUUCAAACCAAUAUGUUUUCUAAGAGGUUCGCCAAAAAAUCAAACACAGUUAUUUAUAAAUUACUCAGAAAAAAAGAUUUAAAACAUGAAAUAAAUAAAUAUCAUACAAUGGCUGUUGAAGCUGUUUAGCGUUUUCUUAUAAGUUUUCAAACUAUUCUAACCUUAAUAUCUCUAAUCAACUUUCUAAGCAGCGUUUAGAAAUGGUUUUUCCAAUUAGUAGAAUGAUAAUAUUACGUGGCCGCUAAAAAAUUGCUUUACGGUAUCAAUUUAUUGAACUUUCAGUUAAAAUUUUUAAUUUAUUGAAAUUUUCAGACAUU